rnacentral:lncRNA from 1 species
GCAGCUCUGCUGCCGUUCCCACUUCCUUACAUACAUCAUUAUUAGCUCUUAUCUACGCAGCAGUAACGGAAACACAUGAGAAUACCUCUUUUUUCAACUUGUUCUUUUCUCAGGUAACAAUCGAACAACAAUCUUCAAAAGAACACGUAAAAUGAAGAAAAAAUAAAAAGAAGACAGGCUGAAAGGCAAUAGGCAAACUCCCAUUGUAGAGAGUUGCAGCUAAUAGGCAAAAUAUCCAUACAUUAGGAACUGAUAUAGAGACCUUAAGCUUGGACCUUAUUGUCCCACUUGAGGGGCUUCACCACCUCCCAUGUGAAGUCGGGGUCAUCUCUGCCAAAGUGUCCAUAUGCUGCAGUCUUCAAGAACCUGCUAUUGCCACCUCUCUUGAG